rnacentral:rRNA from 1 species
AUUGUGGUCUGCAACCCGACUACAUGAAGCUGGAAUCGCUAGUAAUCGCGAAUCAGAAUGUCGCGGUGAAUACGUUCCCGGGCCUUGUACACACCGCCCGUCACACCAUGGGAGUCGGAAAUGCCCGAAGUCAGUGACCCAACCUUAGGGAGGGAGCAGCCGAAGGCAGGUCGGAUGACUGGGGUGAAGUCGUAACAAGGUAAC